rnacentral:lncRNA from 1 species
ACCAAGAAACUUUGCGAGGGAUGCCGUCAGCAGAAUCCAAGCCUUUCCACAAGAAGGCUCUUCUAAUUCUAUCCAAUCUUUUGAUAACCUAAGUUGGCAUUUUGUAUAAUGACAUAAAAUAUAUCAGAAGAGAAGAAAGAACAGCAUUUACGAGUAAGCCUCCCACUAAAUGAAAGAGAUUUACUUUUCCAGCCACUGAGUUUGGAGUCGAAGUAAAGACAACCA